rnacentral:lncRNA from 1 species
AAAUCGAAUAUCAUGUUGAUCCUUGCUAGCUAAGUGAUAAAGACAAUGAAUGAGAUUACAAAAGAUAUCACUUAUUUAGUUAAUUCAUAGAAUUGAAAAUUUAUUCAAAUUAAAUCUUAAGAAUUUUAAAUGAUGAAUAGUGUUUUGAUACAUUAACAAGGUAAAUAAAAAAGGUAGGCGGAAGUAUUAAAUGGCGAAGAGAGGCG